UAAGCGGAGGAAAAGAACUAACNAGGAUUCCCCUAGUAGCGGCGAGCGAACCGGGAGAAGCCCAGCUUGAAAAUCGCGUCGCUUCGCGGCGCGAGUUGUAGGCUGGAGAAGCGUCCUCUGCUGCGGACUUGGCCCAAGUCCCCUGGAAAGGGGCGUCAGAGAGGGUGAGAACCCCGUCGGGCCGAGACCCUGCUGCUCCACGAGGCGCUGUCGACGAGUCGGGCUGUUUGGGAAUGCAGCCCUAAGCGGGAGGUAAAUUCCUUCCAAGGCUAAAUACGGGCGGGAGACGAUAGCGAACAAGUACCGCGAGGGAAAGAUGAAAAGGACUUUGAAAAGAGAGUUAAAAAGUGCUUGAAAUUGCUGGGAGGGAAGCGAAUGGAGGCCUCGUGUGCGCCCCGGUCGGAUGCGGAACGGCGUGAUUGCUGGUCCGCCGCUCGACGCGGGGUGCUGGUCAGCGUGGGCUGUUGCGGNGGGAGAAAAGUCGGCUUCAGUGUNCGCGCGAUAUCCUCUCGCNGCNCGNGGANACGCANNGCGCGNCCCNCGGGGCGGGCCCCCUCGGGGUCACCUGCGCGCUCGAGACGCUGGCGUAGUGGGCUUUUCAUCCGACCCGUCUUGAAACACGGACCAAGGAGUCUAACAUGCAUGCGACCCGGUGGGCGGCAAACCCACGUGAGGCGCAAAUAACUUAACUGGUGUGAUCCUCCUCCGCGGGGUGCAACAUCGACCGACCAUGAGCUUCUGCGAAAGGUUCGAGUAAGAGCAUGCCUGUUGGGACCCGAAAGAUGGUGAACUAUGCCUGAGCAGGGCGAAGUCAGAGGAAACUCUGGUGGAGGCUCGUAGCGAUACUGACGUGCAAAUCGUUCGUCAGACUUGGGUAUAGGGGCGAAAGACUAAUCGAACCAUCUAGUAGCUGGUUCCCUCCGAAGUUUCCCUCAGGAUAGCUGGAGCACGAGGAGUUUCAUC
rnacentral:rRNA from 1 species